rnacentral:rRNA from 1 species
UACUCCUUCGGGAGGCAGCAGUGGGGAAUUUUGGACAAUGGGGGAAACCCUGAUCCAGCCAUCCCGCGUGUGCGAUGAAGGCCUUCGGGUUGUAAAGCACUUUUGGCAGGAAAGAAACGUCGCGGGUUAAUACCCCGCGAAACUGACGGUACCUGCAGAAUAAGCACCGGCUAACUACGUGCCAGCAGCCGCGGUAAUACGUAGGGUGCAAGCGUUAAUCGGAAUUACUGGGCGUAAAGCGUGCGCAGGCGGUUCGGAAAGAAAGAUGUGAAAUCCCAGAGCUUAGCUUUGGAACUGCAUUUUUAACUACCGGGCUAGAGUGUGUCAGAGGGAGGUGGAAUUCCGCGUGUAGCAGUGAAAUGCGUAGAUAUGCGGAGGAACACCGAUGGCGAAGGCAGCCUCCUGGGAUAACACUGACGCUCAUGCACGAAAGCGUGGGGAGCAAACAGGAUUAGAUACCCUGGUAGUCCACGCCCUAAACGAUGUCAACUAGCUGUUGGGGCCUUCGGGCCUUGGUAGCGCAGCUAACGCGUGAAGUUGACCGCCUGGGGAGUACGGUCGCAAGAUUAAAACUCAAAGGAAUUGACGGA